UCAGGCCUAACACAUGCAAGUCGAACGGCAGCACGGACUUCGGUCUGGUGGCGAGUGGCGAACGGGUGAGUAAUACAUCGGAACGUGCCCAGUCGUGGGGGAUAACGUAGCGAAAGCUACGCUAAUACCGCAUACGAUCUACGGAUGAAAGCGGGGGAUCGCAAGACCUCGCGCGAUUGGAGCGGCCGAUGGCAGAUUAGGUAGUUGGUGGGGUAAAGGCUCACCAAGCCGACGAUCUGUAGCUGGUCUGAGAGGACGACCAGCCACACUGGGACUGAGACACGGCCCAGACUCCUACGGGAGGCAGCAGUGGGGAAUUUUGGACAAUGGGCGCAAGCCUGAUCCAGCCAUUCCGCGUGCAGGAUGAAGGCCCUCGGGUUGUAAACUGCUUUUGUACGGAACGAAAAGGCUCUGGUUAAUACCCGGGGCUC
rnacentral:rRNA from 1 species